rnacentral:rRNA from 1 species
UGACGGUACUUAAUGAAUAAGCUCCGGCUAACUACGUGCCAGCAGCCGCGGUAAUACGUAGGGAGCAAGCGUUAUCCGGAUUUACUGGGUGUAAAGGGUGCGUAGGCGGCUUGGUAAGUCAGAUGUGAAAUGUAUGGGCUCAACCCAUGCACUGCAUUUGAAACUAUCGAGCUUGAGUGAAGUAGAGGUAGGCGGAAUUCCCUGUGUAGCGGUGAAAUGCGUAGAGAUAGGGAGGAACACCAGUGGCGAAGGCGGCCUACUGGGCUUUAACUGACGCUGAGGCACGAAAGCGUGGGUAGCAAACAGGAUUAGAUACCCUG